rnacentral:tRNA from 1 species
GGGGUUGUGGCUUGGUGGUAGAGCACUUGUUUAGCAUGUGUGAGGACCUGGGUUCGAUUCUCAGCACCACCA